rnacentral:misc_RNA from 1 species
AAUCACAAUCAUAAAACACUUACCCCUACUCCAUACCCAAAUUUAGAAAAAGCCCAAGCCAUUUAACAUGGAGCUUUAGACUUGAAAUAGGUGGAAGACCCGAAUCCUUAAGACUCAACAACAUAGCAGAUGGGCAAUGCCGCCCCCGCCACUACAAGGAGCCACCGACAGCCAAGGAGACACUGCAAUACACGCACAAAAAGGAAAGCUCACCCAAAGCAAAAGGCAGGCGACAGCUAAACUCCUAUGCCAAUCCAA